rnacentral:rRNA from 1 species
CCUACGGGAGGCAGCAGUGAGGAAUAUUGGUCAAUGGACGAGAGUCUGAACCAGCCACGUAGCGUGAAGGAUGACUGCCCUCUGGGUUGUAAACUUCUUUUAUAUGGGAAUAAAACAGGGUAUGCAUACCCUCAUGUAUGUCCCAUAUGAAUAAGGAUGGGCUAACUCCGUGCCAGCAGCAGCGGUAAUACGGAGGAUCCGAGCGUAAUCCGGAUGUAUUGGGUUUAAAGGGAGCGUAGGUGGAUUGUUAAGUCAGUUGUGAAAGUUUGCGGCUCAACCGUAAAAUUGCAGUUGAAACUGGCAGUCUUGAGUACAGUAGAGGUGGGCGGAAUUCGUGGUGUAGCGGUGAAAUGCUUAGAUAUCACGAAGAACUCCGAUUGCGAAGGCAGCUCACUGGACUGCAACUGACACUGAUGCUCGAAAGUGUGGGUAUCAAACAGGAUUAGAUACCCGUGUAGUC